rnacentral:rRNA from 1 species
UUCGCAAUGCCCGAAAGGGUGACGAAGCGACGCCGCGUGUGGGAAGAAGGCCUUCGGGUUGUAAACCACUGUUGGGAGUUAGGAAGUGUGGAGGUGUUAAUAGCGCUUUCACUUGACUAAAGCUCCAGAGGAAGCCACGGCUAACUCUGUGCCAGCAGCCGCGGUAAUACAGAGGCGGCAAGCGUUGUUCGGAAUUAUUGGGCGUAAAGAGCACGUAGGCGGCUAUGUAAGUCGGUUGUGAAAGCCUUCCGCUCAACGGGAGAACAGCAUCCGAUACUGCAUGGCUUGAGUGCGGGAGGGGAGAGUGGAACUUCUGGUGGAGCGGUGAAAUGCGUAGAUAUCAGAAGGAACGCCGGCGGCGAAAGCGACUCUCCGGUCCGUAACUGACGCUGAGUGUGCGAAAGCUAGGGGAGCAAACGGGAUUAGAUACCCCGGUAGUCCUAGCCGUAAACGAUGGGCACUAAGUAGAGGGGUUUU